AUUGAAUGCUGGCGGCAGGCUUAACACAUGCAAGUAGAGCGAGAGGCGGACGGGUGAGUAAUGUCUGGGAAACUGCCUGAUGGAGGGGGAUAACUACUGGAAACGGUAGCUAAUACCGCAUACCAUCAGAUGUGCCCAGAUGGGAUAAGCUAGUAGGUGGGGUAAUGGCUCACCUAGGCGACGACCCCUAGCUGGUCUGAGAGGAUGACCAGCCACACUGGAUCUGCGACACGGGCCAGACUCCUACGGUAGGCAGCAGUGGGAAAUAGUGGACACAGGGCUCGAGCCUGCUGCAGCGCUGCCGCAUGUGUGAAGAAGGCCUUCGGUUUUUAAAGGCCUUUCAGCGAGGAGGUGUUACUCGCAGAAGACGCACCGGCUAACUCCGUGACAGCAGCCGCGGUAAUUC
rnacentral:rRNA from 1 species